UACGUAGGGGGCAAGCGUUGUCCGGAUUUAUUGGGCGUAAAGAGCGUGUAGGCGGCCAGACAGGUCCGUUGUGAAAACUCGAGGCUCAACCUCGAGACGUCGAUGGAAACCGUCUGGCUAGAGUCCGGAAGAGGAGUGUGGAAUUCCUGGUGUGGCGGUGAAAUGCGCAGAUAUCAGGAAGAACACCUAUGGCGAAGGCAGCUCUCUGGGACGGUACUGACGCUGAGACGCGAAAGCGUGGGGAGCGAACAGG
rnacentral:rRNA from 1 species